rnacentral:rRNA from 1 species
UGGGGAAUAUUGCACAAUGGGGGAAACCCUGACGCAGCGACGCCGCGUGCGGGAUGAAGGCCUUCGGGUUGUAAACCGCUUUUGAUUGGGAGCAAGCCUUUUGGGUGAGUGUACCUUUCGAAUAAGCGCCGGCUAACUACGUGCCAGCAGCCGCGGUAAUACGUAGGGCGCAAGCGUUAUCCGGAAUUAUUGGGCGUAAAGAGCUUGUAGGCGGUUCGUCGCGUCUGGUGUGAAAGCCCAUCGCUUAACGGUGGGUUUGCGCCGGGUACGGGCGGGCUAGAGUGCAGUAGGGGAGACUGGAAUUCCCGGUGUAACGGUGGAAUGUGUAGAUAUCGGGAAGAACACCAAUGGCGAAGGCAGGUCUCUGGGCUGUUACUGACGCUGAGAAGCGAAAGCGUGGGGAGCGAACAGG